rnacentral:tRNA from 1 species
AAAGAAUUAGUUAAAUUCAUAACCUUAAUUUGUCAAAUUAAAAUAACUAGUCAAAUUCUAGUAUUCUUUA